rnacentral:lncRNA from 1 species
GGGGAGAAGUGAUAAUGGGCUUGUGGCUACAAGUAGGAAAGAAACAUUUUAAAGUCGCCUGGACCAGCUGUGCCUUACAAGGGCCACCUUGCAGAUAAGUACAAAAUUUACCAGCCCAGCAAGUGUCUGCCAGUCUACUUUCUCUAUGUAAAGGGGCCCAGGGCACUUGACUGCAAAACUUGGUUAAUUCUCUGUGGCUCCGCUGGAUUUAGUGAAUAAAUUCCUUCCUACCUAGGGGCUCUGAUCACUGAAGAUUUGGCUCUGGCUUCCACCAUGUUGGGUACACAGUAAGUGCUCAAAGAAAGCAAGCAGCAGAUAAUGAAGGGAGGGAAGCAGGCAGGCAGGAGGGGAAGGCUGGAAGCAAAGGAAUGAAAAAAUCUUCUAAUUCUUUGGUUACUCAUCCACAGCAGCAGGUCCACGCACAGCUGGGACAAAAUCACAGCUACUUCUCGGGUGAGUAAGGCCUGACCAUGAGUUCUCAUUCAUCCAUUCUACAGAGAUUUAUUCAGUACCUUCUGGGUGCCAGGAAUCCACACGAGUGAGCCAAAUCAGGCCCAGCCUCCCUAGUCACCUAGUGCCAUGGCUGCUCUGCCAUCACCUAGUCGUUUCAAUCCAUGCUGGCUGCCCCUGCUGAACCUGUCUCCCCAACCCUGGAGCCCUGGCUUGGUGACAAGGAAAAGGAAAGAACGCAGGCUGCCCCAUCCGACAGACUCCCAUCCCACCACAGGUCACUGCUCACUCCGAAUGUCACUCUGCUCUGCUGUGUCACAGAAUGACCAAAGACUAGAAGUUCUUCGGUUUUGGAACUCGGACUGGCUCUCCUUGCUCCUCAGCCAGCAGAAGGCCUAUUGUGGGACCUUGUGAUCGUGUGAGUUAAUACUUACUAAACUCUCCUUUAUAUAUAUAUUAGUUCUUUCCCUCUAGAGAACCCUGACUAAUACAAACCUGGGUCCCAGUCCUGUCUCUUCAGCCUUCUAAGUGAGAGCUUCCACCUUCUCGAGUUGAAGUGAUGGAAGUCCUUCCUGUGGACAGCCCUGGGAAAGCAGGUAAGCGCUUCUGUGACCAAGAAAGUUGUAACGACAGUGGAGUCCAGCAUGUGUGUGGGUGUGUCUGUCCUCUUUAAAUUGCUACCGCUGAGAGUCCCAGGCCCCAGCCACGUCAGCCUGAGAUGGGGUUCUCCACUGGGGAUCCCACCCACUCAAGCUCUGCUGGCCCCUUCUCCAGCAAACUCUAGAGGAGAACUCACUCCCUUUGGGGGAGACAGGCUGAAGCAUAAGCUGACCCAGGUCAGAGAGCAGAUCUCCAAACCACAGCCGCUCCCAUGCUCUGGGGAAGCUGGGAGUUGACUGCAGAAGACUCCAGGUCUGGGACUCUGAUCUUCCUGGGGGCAGUAGCCCAAGCUGCUGGGCUGGCUUAGGGUCCAUCUCUGCCAACCUUCCUCCCCCUGGAGCACCAGGACCCACCUGCAGGCAGGCCUAUCCCAUCUGCACUCAGCAGGGGAAGCUGUCCUCUGCCCUUCCAACAGCAGAACCUGGCACUCAGGCCAAACCCUGCUCACAGUGCAGGUGUGGGGCAAAAUGAGGUCUCUUAAGUGCUGAUGGGCAAAUGGCCUGGGUCCCAUCCUGAAGUGGAAUCCCCAACGGAAUACAAUGGAUGGAGCUUCCCAUGCCUGGUGGUGACUCACUGUCUCCACAUUACACAUACCUAUUUAUACACAAACACACCACAAGUGUGCCCAUGUGACAUUGCCCACCCCACACACACCCAAACACAGACACAGCCUAUACAUCACACCUCCUGAGUUACAAAAGGCACAACCCUCCUCAAACACACAUCCAUCCUCCGGCACACACCCAGUCCAUGCCUCGCCCCCACACACACCUGACACCCCAGUGCAACACCACACCCACCCUCCCCUCCCUGCAAACUCCCACCUCCGCCCACCUGCUUAAUACACAUUCUCACCCCCCACACACUCCUUAAUACAUACUCUCACACCCACAAGCCUGCCUUCUUGGAGAAGUGAGCCGAGCCGUGCAGCGCCGCGAAGGGCAUCCCCGAAGACCGGGAGGAACGCCGCGGGGACCUGUGGCUUAGCGCGCUCCGCCCGGGCUUGUCUGCCCGCGGGGGCGCAGCGGCUGAGGCGGCUCCGGGCCGGAGUUCCAAUCAAGCGCCACCCAACUCCCAGUCGGGGGCCGAGGCCAGCGCCGGGAUGCCAGCUUCCCCCAAAAAGAUCCUGCCUCAGGGAAAUGCAUGGAGCCGGCGGAAAAGCCCGCGGCGCCCCCGGCGGAUCGCAGACCCUAAGGGGGCGGGAGGUGGCGCCCCAGUCCCAACCUCUUGAGCCAACCCAGUGGGUGGGAAGUGCCCUUACCCUAGGCCUUCCGCAAAGUGUUCUCUCCUUGUAUUAUUCUAAUUACGGUAUUUUUAAUUUCCUUAAAAAAAUAAGAAACAGAAAAGCACAGAACGCACUUGUUUGGUUUCAUUUUGCCUUCACAGCUUUAAUGACUCUAUUUGUGGAAGCUGUUUAGGAAACUGGUGAGGAGGAGAAGGAGGAGGACGCCAAGAGAAGCGCCAGCUCUGGCCUGAGCGCCGGCUUUCUCCUCCCUACCCUCUGGGGGCCAUCUGCCCAGGCAGCAGUUUCCCUGGGCCCAGGCUCCCACCCCCAAGUCCCAGCCUAUGACCCAGCCCCCUCUGCCCUUUCCUGAAGGCGGCAGUGGCCUCCAAACUGUCUCCUUUCCACCCAACCCCAACUCUGAGGGUCAAAAGACGGGCUGCCUGCAGGCCCUGGGGGAGGGAGGUACCAGCACUGUCUAUUCAGAAUCACUAACCUGGUCCGAGAGCACUUGGAAUGGAAAUGAUCCAUCUCCCCCCAGCCCAUCCCCAAAGUCUUAGGCAGCCCACAAACCUCCUUAGAAAACCUCUGUGGCUCAGGGAAUGGGGCGUAGGAGGCAGACCUCGUCUUAAGCCUGACACCCAGGAAAAGGGUCACUAGACCUGCGGUCCAGGAGAAACUCAACAACAAAGAGUCUCAAGCCCACACCCAUGAUGGUGGGUCUCCAGCCCAGAUGGAAUGAAGGAGCUAGAAGCACUAGAUUGAGGUUGUGAGGCCUCAGUUCAAGUCCUGGCGCUACCGGUGAGUCCCAGUGUGACCUUGGGCAAGUUGGCCUGUCCCAAAGUGUCAACAGUUAAAUAAAUGGAUUGGAAAAGAGGGGAACUGUUUUAUCCUACAGAAUUCCCUGUUUGUGGGGGAGGGGAGAGAGGUGGAGGAGAGAGAUUACAGGAGAAAUUCCUCCCCUGCAGUGGUACUUUCACUUUAAUGAGAAAACCCAUUAAGACACUUGAUUUUCCAUUUGUUUAAGUGAGAUGGGUGUUUGCUACAGUGAGUGCAGAGGGAGACAAGGACAGGCUAUCAUUGUGUGUGCACAGGCGCAUGCACGCGAGCACACACACACACACACACACACACACACACACACACCAAGCAGAGACACUACAAAAACUCUGAUUUUAAUUGCACCUUAAAAAGAAGUAUUAUCUUGACACCUCGACUCCUUCUCAACCAUCCCAGCCAGAGGCCAUGGAAAGGCUCAUUAAAAGCUCCAGGAAGGGCUGAAAGGUGGGGUGGGAGGAGAUUUCCAGGGCCAACCAGAGCUUUUGAAGUGGCCUUUUCUGGCUAGUCACUUGCUGACAUUACCUUCUAAGGGUCUGGGGUUUUAUGGUUCCAGUUUUGAUUUCUCCAGCAUCAGACUUUACAGCUUAAAAAUAUUCUCAGUGCUGUAAAGGGAGCUCAUUCCCAUAUUCACCAGGGAUGGGGUGGGGUGGGGAAAAGGAGAGAGAGGUGCCUGCCACUUGAGGGGAGCUUGGACACCCCCAGUAAAGAUCCCUCUUUGCAGAGAGAGCCUCGCCUGCCUCAGUCUGUUAUGAGUCUCAUGGCAGAGGGGUGGGUGGAUAAGAAUAGGAGGGAGGGUCUGCUGGGCUUGAAUCAGUCUGGCUAUUGGACAGGAGCCCUUCACAUGUCUUCAAUCUGUGGCCAAGUGAAGGCAAGAUUUGGAGAAAGCCAACACUCUGGCCUUGAUUUUCCCCAUCAGUGAAAUGGAGCUUGUGAAGGAUCCAAUGGAAAAACCCAAAGAACAUUCUGAAAGAAUGAUGCUCUGUGCCUGUGGCAUUAGAGAAAAACAAGAUUGUGUGGGAGGAAGGGACAUGUUCUCCCUCCUGAAGGCAGGUUUCUAAGGGCCACACAUUCUGGGCAAUGAGAAGGCUGCAGGCCGACCCCACCAGUUGGCCCCUCUCCAGGCUGGUGGGCAGGCAGCUACUGCCGCACUAAGUAAUGAGCACAAUUCCAACACCGCUUCUGCUCGCUGGUGAGAAAUCAAAGCCGGGUAUUAGAGGCCAUUUCUGACUGGGCACCAUUCGUGCCCAAAUCCAUCAAAGCCCUGGGCCUGGGGUUUCUUCUGGGGAAGGUGGGGGCUGGAUGCUUUGUUAAGCAGGAAAUGCAGGCCACCCCCAGCCUUCUUGGCCAAGCCCACCCACCCAGAGAACUAUAGGCCAACCAGUCUUGUCUUUCUCCUACAGCAGCCCCUCAUUCCUGGUAACCUAAGUAUUUAUUCCUGAUCCCACUGUCCUGCUGGUACAAAAGCAGCUUCCCAAGACACAACCCUGCCCAUGUGCCAUUUACAGAGACUUCACCCUACCCUUCAAUCAUCUCCUCAAACCCCCUCCAACCAGAAACCAGCACCCCAACCAAGCACCUCCCACGUCUAACUGCACCCUUUAAAACAAGGUUGGACAUUCAGCAGCCUGCCUUCCCCAUCCCCAUCAUUACCUUCCAACUUCAAAACACUGCUUUAAAUACCAGAGUCUGCCCAAAUCAUAAUUAACUUGGAUCAAAUGGUUGAGUGUUGUAACUCUACUGCACAGGACUUGCACCAGAAAAAAAAAAAAAAGUGGGGAAUGUGCUAAAGCCAAGCCCUCACUCCUGGCCGUGGGAAUCACUAAUUCCAGAAUGAGGAAUCUUUGGCUAUGGAGGGGGGAAGGGCGGAUGUCAACUUCGCAGCAGGAGGUAGGAGGUGGGGAGGGCUGCGUCAUCUCGUCCACUUUCUGCUCCAGUUUUCCUGCUCCAUUCUCAGCCUCAACUCAGAGAGGACUCCGUGCAGGAGGCCCCGUCCCCACCUGGCUCCGGAGCCGAGCCGCCCGGCAGCCGUGGCCAGCCCACUUGCUUGGGUUCGGGUACCAGAGAGAGGCUGGCUCCAUUCAGUCCACAGCCUCCCCGAGAAGACGCAGCCCAGCCAGCGACGCCGGGUCCAGCUACAGGACGAGCGAGAAACGUAUUCAUCCACGGCGAGAGAGGAGGGUUAGGGACUUUAUUUCGGAGCCCACCAGUUCGCUGAAGUCAUC